rnacentral:rRNA from 1 species
UACGUAGGGCGCAAGCGUUGUCCGGAAUUAUUGGGCGUAAAGAGCUCGUAGGCGGCCUGUUGCGUCCGCUGUGAAAUCCCGGGGCUCAACCCCGGGCCUGCAGUGGAUACGGGCUGGCUAGAGGCAGGCAGGGGAGAACGGAAUUCCUGGUGUAGCGGUGAAAUGCGCAGAUAUCAGGAGGAACACCGGUGGCGAAGGCGGUUCUCUGGGCCUGUACUGACGCUGAGGAGCGAAAGCUCGGGGAGCGAACGGG